AUGGAUAGGUUUCAAAAGAGGCGUGAGAAGAUGAGUGACAAUGGCUAUGACCCUCUAGUCACUGAGGAUUUUGAUUGGGGCAAUGAGUGCGUUGACCCAACAAUAGCUCCACCCCAAGGUGCUCGAGGGUGUCCUGAUGACAUUUCAUGGGAACUUGUUGAUGAGGCUGUUGGUGCAAGUUCUUCGCUGCAAGGUCGCAACUUUCCUAGAGCUAGCACCAUGGCAAGGGGCCCCUCAAAUGUUAAUGUACAGUACCAAAGGAAGCGCAAAAGGGCUGCUCCGUCUCGAACAUUUCUUCAUGAAGAUGACGAAGAGGAUGACCAAAAACAACAAUCAAGUAUCCCCAAUGGAGAGGAUGAUGAUUCAGACUUUCUUCAAGAUGAUGUUGAUGUGACCGAUGAUGAUGAAGAUCCAACUAGUGCUGACCAAGAUGGCGAAGACAACACAAAUACUGCCAUGGAUGAGUUCGAUGAUGGCUAUUGA
rnacentral:rRNA from 1 species